rnacentral:rRNA from 1 species
UAGCAAUACGACCAGAAGACAGGUGCUGCAUAGCUGUCGUCAGCUCGUGUGGUGACAUGUUGGGUUAAUACCCGCAACGAGGCGCAACCCCUUGUCCUUAGCUGCCAGCAUUAAGUUGGGCUCUCUAAGGAGGACUGCCGUGGUUAACACCGAGGAAGGUGGGGAUGACGUCAAGUCCUCAUGGCCUUUAUAUCCAGGGCGACACACGUGAUACAAUGGUCGGUACAGAAGGGAGCGAAAGGGCGACCUGGAGCUAAUCUCAAAAAGCCGAUCUCAGUUCGGAUUGGAGUCUGCAACUCGACUCCAUGAAGNNGGAAUCGUUNGUAAUCNCGGAUCAGCACGNCGCNGUGAAUACGUUNNNCGGGCCUUGUACACACCGCGCGUNACACCAUGGGAGCUGACUCAACCAGAAGACGCUCAAUCUAACCGCAAGGAAUUCCUCCGGCGAAGGUGGGGUUGGUGACUGGGGUGAAGUCGUAACAAGGUAGCC